GUAGGCUUUCUUAUCUGAGUACUGUAUUUACAUUAUUUCCAUUCAACUUUCCCCCAGCCAACUCUGUGUUCUCUCCACUUCCUGUUAAAUUCAUGACUUCUUUAAUUAUUUUUAUUACACCCCCCACACACACACACAAAGACCUGGACACACACACCACACACACACACACACACACACACACACACACACACACACACAUUCUCGCCUUGGCUCAUUAGUAUUGUUUAUAUGUGUGUAUGUUUAGGGCUGACCAUUUGGAACUGGAAGACCUAUCAGGAGCCUUGUCCUUACAGAAGACUGGUCUGCCCUUAUUUACUUGCUAUUAGCUGUCUCUAGCUCCUCAUGUAGGAGAGUUUCCCUAUCUGUGGAGAAAUGUCACCAGUGUGGUCAUUUUGCAGGUCUGCUUCCCUACAGUUGUGGCUUCAUGGCUGCAGUUCAUCUGUCAAAGACAGUAAUCUUGCAGGAAAAUUCUGGCCCUCUGACUCUUAUAAUUUUUUUACUUGCUUUCCUAAUAUCCCCUGAGUCAGGUUGUGUUGUAAAUGUACCAUCUGUGGUUGGACGACUUACAGUCGGUCAGUGGUUCUCAGUGUUGUCACCACUUGUGAGUUUCCAUGGUAAAGUUUCCAUAUGCCACACACUGAAAAAUGAGUGUCUUUGAUGAGGUGUGGAUGCUAUACUUAUCUGUGGGCAUAAAAAUAUGUGUUUAGACUGCAGUUAGAAAAUAUAGUUUUAGAAUAGAAUAGAAUAGAAUAGAACAGAACAGAACAGAACAGAACAGAACAGAACAGAACAGAACAGAACAGAACAGAACAGAACAGAACGAGGUUCUGUGACCUCAGCAGCUAUGGGUAGUUUGAUAAGUUUACAGUAGCAGACACAGAUUCCCUCCUAUUAACUGGGCCUUAAAUCAAAUCAUACCACUGUUGGUUACUAAAAAUAUAAGUGCCACUAUUGUCCUUGGGGGAUAUAUUGCUUUGGUUCAAAAUCAUACAGCUGGAAAGGACUACUGAUUAGUUUUCUUUUGGCAGCAGCCACAGCAUCUUUGUACACUAGGAGAGCUAGGUGGCCAGGGAGAAGACUUCCAAGACAUAAUGCAGCGUUCCUUCUCCGGUUGUGAACGUUGUCGGAUGAAGAAGCCGUCAGAUGUUUAGCCUGUAUGCACACUCAUCAAGCUGUCCUGACUAUUACUGCUCAUGACGCCUCAGAUCCACCAACUCAAGACCCAGCCCUAGGCUGUCUUUCUUACAGUUGCUUAUAGGUUUCCCUUUCCCAGCUCCACUCAUUUCUAACCUGUAUCCCCAAAAGCCCAUUAUCCCCAUGCUGCUGCUUGGCCUAGACUAGCUCCAGAACAGAGCUUUCUGAACUAGACCAGUGCACACUUCAAUAGAAUUUAUAAGAUUGGCAUGAGCUCAGAUUGUUAGCAAGUUACAGGAAAGUAGCCUAUAGCAAUGUCCGAUUUAGCUUAUUCUUCAAUCAUUAAUGAUUAAAUACUAUUAAAGCAAACAAA